UACGAAGGGGGCUAGCGUUGCUCGGAAUCACUGGGCGUAAAGGGUGCGUAGGCGGGUCCUUAAGUCAGGGGUGAAAUCCUGGAGCUCAACUCCAGAACUGCCUUUGAUACUGAAGAUCUUGAGUUCGGGAGAGGUGAGUGGAACUGCGAGUGUAGAGGUGAAAUUCGUAGAUAUUCGCAAGAACACCAGUGGCGAAGGCGGCUCACUGGCUCGAUACUGACGCUGAGGCACGAAAGCGUGGGGAGCAAACAGG
rnacentral:rRNA from 1 species